rnacentral:rRNA from 1 species
UAGGGAAUCUUCCGCAAUGGGCGAAAGCCUGACGGAGCAACGCCGCGUGAGUGAUGAAGGUCUUCGGAUCGUAAAACUCUGUUAUUAGGGAAGAACAAAUGUGUAAGUAACUAUGCACGUCUUGACGGUACCUAAUCAGAAAGCCACGGCUAACUACGUGCCAGCAGCCGCGGUAAUACGUAGGUGGCAAGCGUUAUCCGGAAUUAUUGGGCGUAAAGCGCGCGUAGGCGGUUUUUUAAGUCUGAUGUGAAAGCCCACGGCUCAACCGUGGAGGGUCAUUGGAAACUGGAAAACUGGAGUGCAGAAGAGGAAGGUGGAAUUCCAUGUGUAGCGGUGAAAUGCGCAGCGAUAUGGAGGAACGCCAGUGGCGAAGGCGACUUUCUGGUCUGUAACUGACGCUGAUGUGCGAAAGCGUGGGGAUCAAACAGG